rnacentral:ncRNA from 1 species
CGACUCCAGCUCAGGCGAGAACACUCGUUGAGUUUAAGCAUAUAAUUAAGCGGAGGAAAAGAAACUUACAAGGAUUCCCCUAGUAACGGCGAGCGAACCGGGAAGAGCCUAGCAUGAAAAUCGGGUGGCAGUGUCACCUGAAUUGUAGUCUGUAGAAGCAUCCUUAGCGGCGGACCAGGCCCAAGUCCCCUGGAAGGGGGCACCUGAGAGGGUGACAGCCCUGUCGGUCCGGGACCUUGCCGCACCACGAGGCAUUGUCGGUGAGUUGGGAUGUUUGGGAAUGCAGCCCUAAUCGGGUGGUAAAUUCCAUCCAAGGAUAAAUACAUGCGAGAGACCGAUAGCGAACAACUACCGCGAGGGAAAGAUGAAAAGGACUUUGAAAAGAGAUUUAAAGAGUGCUUGAAAUUGCUAGGAGGGAAGUGGAUGGAGGCCGACGAUGCAUCUCGGUCAGAUGCAGAAUGGCUCAAGUUGGUCUGCCACUCGACUCGAGGUGGGAACCAACAAAGGCCGUUGCAUCGGCACAAGAGUGGGUGGAGUAUAGCAUGUUGGUUUACCGUUGUGGUGGUCAGGGAACGAAGCGUGCACCCUUGGGGCGAGCCACUGUGCACCUGCACGCUCAUGGUGUUGGUUGGCAGGCUUUCCAUUCGACCCGUCUUGAAACACAGACCAAGGAGUCUAACAUGUGUGCGAGUCGGUGGGUUUGUAAACUUGCGAGGCGUAAGGAAGCUGAUGGGCGAGAACCCCUCUCCAUGGGGUGCAUUGCCGACCGACC